UACGUAGGUGGCAAGCGUUGUCCGGAAUUACUGGGUGUAAAGGGAGCGUAGGCGGGAAGCCAAGUCAGCUGUGAAAACUACGGGCUUAACCUGUAGACUGCAGUUGAAACUGGCUUUCUUGAGUGAAGUAGAGGUUGGCGGAAUUCCGAGUGUAGCGGUGAAAUGCGUAGAUAUUCGGAGGAACACCGGUGGCGAAGGCGGCCAACUGGGCUUAACUGACGCUGAGGCUCGAAAGUGUGGGGAGGCAAACAGG
rnacentral:rRNA from 1 species